rnacentral:rRNA from 1 species
UACGUAGGGACCAAGCGUUGUUCGGAUUUACUGGGCGUAAAGGGCGCGUAGGCGGCUUGACAAGUCAGUUGUGAAAUCUCCGGGCUUAACUCGGAAAGGUCAACUGAUACUGCGCGGCUAGAGUGCAGAAGGGGCAACUGGAAUUCUCGGUGUAGCGGUGAAAUGCGUAGAUAUCGAGAGGAACACCUGCGGCGAAGGCGGGUUGCUGGGCUGACACUGACGCUGAGGCGCGAAAGCCAGGGGAGCGAACGGG